AUUGAACGCUGGCGGAAUGCUUUACACAUGCAAGUCGAGCGGCAGCGCGGGGGCGAACCCUCGGCGGCGAGCGGCGAACGGGUGAGUAACAUAUCGGAACGUACCCACGUCGUGGGGGAGUAACUAUCCGAAAGGAAUAGCUAAUACCGCAUACGUCCUGAGGGAGGAAAGACGGGGGAGUCGCAAGACCUCGCGCGAUUGGAGCGGCCGAUAUCGGAUUAGCUAGUUGGUGGGGUAAAGGGACUCACCAAGGCGACGAUCCGUAGCGGGUCGUGAGAGGACGACCCGCCACACUGGAACUGAGACACGGUCCAGACUCCUACGGGA
rnacentral:rRNA from 1 species